rnacentral:rRNA from 1 species
AGAGUUUGAUUCUGGCUCAGGACGAACGCUGGCGGCACGCUUAACACAUGCAAGUCGAACGGAGAUAAAGGAGCUUGCUUCUUUAUCUUAGUGGCGGACGGGUGAGUAACACGUGAGCAACCUACCUUCAAGCGGGGAAUAAUGGAGGGAAACUUCCACUAAUACCCCAUAAGAUAGUAUUUCCGCAUGGAGAAGCUAUCAAAGAUUUAUUGUUUGAAGAUGGGCUCGCGUCCGAUUAGCCAGUUGGUGAGGUAACGGCCCACCAAAGCGACGAUCGGUAGCCGUACUGAGAGGUAGAACGGCCACAUUGGGACUGAGACACGGCCCAGACUCCUACGGGAAGCAGCAGUGGGGAAUAUUGCACAAUGGGGGAAACCCUGAUGCAGCCGACGCCGCGUGAGUGAAGAAGUAUUUCGGUAUGUAAAGCUCUAUCAGCAGGGAAGAAGAUGACGGUACCUGCACAAGAAGCCCCGGCUAACUACGUGCCAGCCGCCGC